GCCUGUGGGACGUGGCCAGGAAGCCACAGGGAGAUGCAUAUGCCAAUACACAUAGAAAUAGGGCUCCUUUUUUUUUUCAUAAAGAAAACAGGCUUCAUUUUUCCCUAGUGCCACUGAAACUAAAUGCUUGAGCCUGUUUUUAUAUGCAGAAAUAUCCCCAGUGCAAAAAGAAAGUUAAUUCAAGAAGCAAAUGUCUACCUACAGGUAUCUGAAACAAACAUGGUCAGGUACUUUCUGGGCUCCCCUGGUGGCCAGUGGUAAAAGAAUUCGCCUUCCAGUGCAGAAGACUGGGUUGGGAAGAUUCCCCUGGAGAAAGAAAUGACAAUUCAUGCCUGAAGAGUCCCAUGGACAGAGGAGCCUGGCAGGCCAUAGCCCGUGUGGUCCCUAAGAGUAGAACAUGACUGAGCAACUAAAUACCAACAACAAGUACUUUCUAGGUACUGAGACAGGGUGAUCAACUUAGCCCCAGCAGUCCCCCUGCUUACAUUUGACUAUGUAAUCCUGAUGUUAGUGUAAUCCACUAACAGGGCUUGUUGCUAAAAAUGCCAUUUAUGAGAUGUUGGCUGCGUCUUCCUGAGCUUAUGUGAGCCUCCAGCCAACAGGAUUUGGAGGCUUCCUCCCUCUUGAGAAUACAAACUUCUUCAGGGAGAUGAACUGUGAAGCUGACAAAUAACAUUGGGUGGGAUUUGCCCAUAGACUGUCAACUAUGAAACCGAAGAUGAGAUGGUAAAUGAACUUGGGCUGAAACAAAAAACAAAACCAAAAUUUCAGGACAACUGAGUCAUCCAUCCAGAGGCCCUGUGGAGACUCCAGGUUUGAGGCAACAGAAUGAUAUCUUAGGAAACCAGACUCAAGUGGGAGGGCUUGAAUCCAAAUGUGAGAAAAGCCAACAGUUCUUGAAAUUGUUGAGGCCUGUUUAUCAUCAUUUUUAUAAGGCACCUAUGACCUUGGCCAAGGGGAAGGAGGGGACUUUUAAGGACAGAAGUGAUAGCUGAGAGAAUGUGGCUGCUCAUAUGAAAUCUUGUGCUUUACUAAUGAUCUCAUAUUCUGUUCAACAGGGAUCAAUAGUUGUUUGGGAGCUCCUUUGAAAAAUAAUAGCUAAAAAGAUAAAGUCAUAGGAUCAGUGAAAAGUAUGUGUGGCCUUGAAACACACUCUCCCAGAUUCUCUGCAUAGCUUUGGGAGCAGAGGAUAACAGUUGGGGAAGGAUUACAGGACUGAGUGGCUAGUUACGUGUAUUUUCUCA
ensembl:lncRNA